CAAUAGCGUAUAUUAAAGUUGUUGCAGUUAAAAAGCUCGUAGUUGAAUUUCAGGUUCGUUCCCGGAUGUCCGCCGACUGGCGCGACUGAAGGGGCGGCCUUUUCCCGCAAGGGACAUUUACUGUGAGAAAAUUAGAGUGUUCAAAGCAGGCAUUGGCUUGGAUACAUUAGCAUGGAAUAAUAGGAUAGGACCACGGUGCUAUUUUGUUGGUUGCGGCCCGAGGUAAUGAUUAAUAGGGAUAGUUGGGGGUACUCAUAUUCAACUGUCAGAGGUGAAAUUCUUGGAUUUGUUGAAGAUGAACAACUGCGAAAGCAUUUACCAAGGAUGUUUNCAUUA
rnacentral:rRNA from 1 species